UUUUUUUAAAGAUUAUUUUGUGUUUUUGCUGCUUAUUGUUGUCAAAUGUUCGUCUAGUAACUUCGGAAAACUGCCCCGACCCGCCGAUUCUUGUCAACGGGCAUACUACAACUAGCGAUGGGGUGUACGCGGUCUACGAGUGUGAUGCAGGAUAUGAGAUGGACAUCGAGCAGGAUACAGUUGUCUUGGUAUGUGACACAUCGCAGGGCACAUGGAACAAAAACUUGCCCAACUGUGAUCUUGUCCAAUGCCCUGAGCCAGCUGUGCCAAACUUCGGUCAAGUUGAAGGAUCUGGACGUUCUUUUGGUGACAAUCCCGACCUUUCGUUUGAGGACGCAGAUGCUUAUUUACGACGGUAGUUGACUUUGGAAGGGACUUUUUUGGCCC